AGAACGCUCACUCCUACUUAUCGUUUUCAGGUGUCUUCUAAGCUGAGCUUAUGUGUGUAAGCUCAGGCACUCCAUCAUGUUCAACUCUUUGAGGCCCCAUGAACUGUAGCCCGCCAGGCUCCUCUGUCCAUGGAGUUUUCCAGGCAAGACUACUGGAGUGGGUUGCCAUUUCCUCCUCCAGGGGGUCUUCCCGACCCAGGGAUCAAAACUGUGUCUCUUGCAUCUCCUGCAUCGAACUCCUCUUAUUGCACCCAUCUCACCACCCACAUGCUCAGCUGAAUCAUUUCAUCAAGUGGGAAGACACUGAAGGACAUCCAUGGAAUUAAUCUUAAAAGAAAGCAGACAGCAUGGAGUUAGUUUAUAGCCACUUCAUCAGAGCUUGGGCAGCUGGAUUCCAGGCCUAAAGACUCAGCCUCCUUAAUGCUAAACAGCGUCACAGAAAGACAAGAAGAGUUCCUUACAGAAAGUUUGACAGUUUGGCCAAGCACACACAGUAAGAAGUGGCCAAGUGAGGACUCUAACCCAGGCGGGCUGGAGUCACGACCACUGGAGGCAAAGGAGAUACUGUUAACGAAAAGAAGGAAGGAAGAUUGGAAGAAAGGAAGGAGGGAAGGGAGAAAAAAGGAAGAAAAGGAAAAAACCUUGCAACACAAACCCCAAUCGCUUCAAGAUUUACUGUGAUUCCAUUUUCAUUUUCUAAUCUCAUUGCCUAAGCCCUAAAUCACCACACUUUGGUUUCAGUGCAAAGAAAAAAACGUUUGCAGUUCUCUCCUACCCCAUGCCUAUCAGAGUACGUCUUAUACAAAGAGAAGGCAAGAGGGUCUGGGGGACCGAGGAUAUCAAGUCCCUACAAAAGCUCCCAGCCCUCACGCCCGUGCUCUUGCUCCCGGUCUGAUGUCUCCAUGACUCAGGGCUCUGCAGCAAUGGCCCCCUACCCACGGAUGCCAGAGCAACUUUUACCAGUGUCCCUCUUUGGAUGACCAUUCCACAUUCUUUCAAAGAGGAUCCCAUCUAUUUCCACCCCAACCUAACUCACACCCUGCAAAAGCAUUAACACCAUGAAGAAUGACCUCUUUUAGCAAAAGCGAGGAAGAAUUCAGGCUCAGAACUGAAGAAGCCUAAGUUUUCGCUUCAACUUUCUCACUUACUUGUGUACCCUUGGCCAGGUUUCCUCGGCCAAGCAGAAUCUUGUCCAAUGAUGACCUUACAUUGUACAUCACACCAGGCUUCCAUGAGGACUCAUAUCAUUUACUUAAAAUGUCUAGCAUAGUACUUGGAGCAUAGUAAGUGCACAGUAGACAAUUGUUUUUAUGACCUGGCCAUUAAAAUUUACAGACCAUAUGCAUUUCCUAAAAUUCCAGUUUUUGCAACUC
ensembl:lncRNA